UGGCGACGGAAGAUAUAUCUCAACAUGCUUUAAAAAUUGUCUCUAGCUCUUAUUAAUAGUAAUCGCAAAAGAAAUCAUUAAAGGAAAUUGUAACAACCCAACUCUGAUUAAUAAUAACUACUGUUAAUUAGAGAAGCCAAUUGAGAGGUUUUACUGAUUAAUUAAGGAUUUACCACUAUUGAAGGAUACAAUUUUGAGUUGUAGAAAUAAGAGGGGCAAUGUAGACUUUUUAACCAUUUAAUAUUGAUGAGUAGUUAAAGGGAACAAAGUUGCAGAAAAUCACAAGACUCCUUCCUUCUCAUCUGUCCAGAACCGAACCACUCCCUCCAUCACCACAAAAACUCCAUUUUUCAAUUUCUCCUAAAUCCUUCAAUUUCUCAUCUGUCUUGCAUGCACAUUUUCUCUCAACCCAUCACCGUUGGAACAUGGUGGACACAAGUUUCAGCCCGGAUUCUUUCUUCAUCCUCUGUCAAGGUCAAAAACACCAUUUAAGUGGGACAAGUUAAUUCUCUUCCAAAUGAAGCAUGCAUGCGUGAAUUAAGGCUUGAAUCCACCAUUUUCAAUCAAUAGAAAGCUAAGAGUUUUCCUUUACUCUUGAAGCUUGCAUUUAUUAAUUUCGUCUUGGGUUUGAGUUUGCAAGUAUUGGCAACUAAGUUAAGGUUUGGAAGGAUUAAGACGACUUGGGUGCUGAUGGAAGCAUUAAGCUCAGGAGUUGGAAGUAAAAGAUUUGUUGGAAGUUUUGAACGGUAUUUACAUGUCUGGAAAGCCGACGAAAUUCCCGUCGUUUGGGCGUCAAUCUCGUAUAAUUUUGACCAAUAUUGAAGUCGGGACACGCUUCUGAAGUUGAGGUUCUGAUGAUGUCAAUUUCUGGUUUUGGACUGCGAGUUUUACGCGCACAACUACACGAACGGAUACUUGAGAGCGUACGGAGCAGCUCGGUGACGCUGGAAUCUCAGAUAAACAGGUUGAUGAGCAGAGAGCUAUGGACCGGACGAAGUGAAGUGGCAUUGGAUGUUAUUGUCAUUGUUUAUCUGAAUAUUCUAUUAAGCUGUUGUAUAAGUUAGCGUCAUAGUAUAUUUGUAUUGAUUGGUUAUUUAUGGCUCUGAUGUAAGUUUUAAGUUACAUUAUGACAGGAAUGUUAUCAUUCAGUUUAGUCAAUACUUGUAUAAUGACAAGGCUUUUAUGUUUUAUGGGUAUAUACAACGAGUUUAAUUCAG